rnacentral:rRNA from 1 species
GAUGAACGCUGGCGGCGUGCCUAAUACAUGCAAGUCGAGCGAACGGACGAGAAGCUUGCUUCUCUGAUGUUAGCGGCGGACGGGUGAGUAACACGUGGAUAACCUACCUAUAAGACUGGGAUAACUUCGGGAAACCGGAGCUAAUACCGGAUAAUAUUUUGAACCGCAUGGUUCAAAAGUGAAAGACGGUUUUGCUGUCACUUAUAGAUGGAUCCGCACUGCAUUAGCUAGUUGGUAAGGUAACGGCUUACCAAGGCAACGAUGCAUAGCCGACCUGAGAGGGUGAUCGGCCACACUGGAACUGAGACACGGUCCAGACUCCUACGGGAGGCAGCAGUAGGGAAUCUUCCGCAAUGGGCGAAAGCCUGACGGAGCAACGCCGCGUGAGUGAUGAAGGUCUUCGGAUCGUAAAACUCUGUUAUUAGGGAAGAACAUAUGUGUAAGUAACUGUGCACAUCUUGACGGUACCUAAUCAGAAAGCCACGGCUAACUACGUG